UCAAGCUAAUAAGGGCGCAAGGGGAAUGCCUUGGCAUUGGAAGCCGAUGAAGGACGUAGCGAUCUACGAAAAGCCCCGGGGAGGCGAAAGCAGCCAUCGAUCCGAGGAUAUCCGAAUGGGGAAACCCGGCGGAGCAAUACUCCGUCAUCCUUUUGUGAAUCCAUAGCAACUGGAAGGGAACCGCCUGAACUGAAACAUCUAAGUAGGGCGAGGAAGAGAAAUCAACCGAGAUUCCGCUAGUAGUGGCGAGCGAACGCGGAAGAGGCCAAACCAAGAGUAGUAAUACUUUUGGGGUUUUGGACAGCGUACGGUAUUAACUGCGGUUAGUAGAAUGAAAUGGGAAGUUCAACCACAGAGCGUGAUAGUCGCGUACACGAAAACUAAAGUUAGCCAGCUGGAUCCAGAGUACCGCCGGACACGUGAAACCCGGUGGGAAGACGGGGGGACCACCCUCCAAGCCUAAAUACUCUCCAAUGACCGAUAGUGUAUAGUACUGUGAAGGAAAGGUGAAAAGAACCCCUGGCGGGGAGUGAAAUAGAACCUGAAACCUUGUGCCUACAAGCACAUAGAGCGCGUCAAUGCGUGAUAUGGUACCUUUUGUAGAAUGGUCCGGCGAGUGAAUGUCACUGGCAAGGUUAAGCUCUUAAGGAGUGCAGCCGAAGCGAAAGCGAGUCUGAAAUGGGCGUUUUUAGUCAGUGGUAUUCGACCCGAAACCGGGUGACCUAGCCAUGAGCAGGCUGAAGUGGAGGUAAAACUCCAUGGAGGGCCGAACCCACUCCCGUUGAAAUGGUAGGGGAUGACUUGUGGCUAGCGGAGAAAUUCCAAUCGAACCCGGAGAUAGCUGGUUCUCUCCGAAAUAGCUUUAGGGCUAGCCUCAAUUAACAUUACCGCAGGUAAAGCACUGAAUGAGCUAGGGGGCGAAAGCUUACUGAACUCUAUCAAACUCAGAAUGGCGGAUAAUGAAUGAUUGGGAGUCACACUACGUGAGAUAAGUUUCGUGGUGGAAAGGGAAACAGCCCAGACCCACAGCUAAGGUCCCAAAGUACAGUUAAGUGGAAAAGGAUGUGAAAUUGCGCAGACAACCAGGAUGUUGGCUCAGAAGCAGCCACUCAUUCAAAGAGUGCGUAAUAGCUCACUGGUCGAGUGAUUUUGCGCCGAAAAUUUAACGGGGCUAAACUGUACACCGAAGCUUGGGAAUAUACAUUUGUAUAUUGGUAGGAGAGCGUUGUGUAAGGGGUGAAGUCGUAGCGAAAGCGGCGGUGGACUUUACACAAGUGAGAAUGCCGGAAUGAGUAGCGAGAAUUAUGUGAGAAUCAUAAUGGCCGAAAGACUAAGGUUUUAGAAGGAAGGUUCGUCCGCUUCUAGUUAGCCGGGAGCUAAGGCGAGGCCGAGAGGCGUAGUCGAUGCACAUACGGUUGAGAUUCCGUAGCUACCUUGCAUUUAAGCGAAGGGACACAUUUGAAGGGCAUGACCCGGGCGUUGGUUGACCCGGGCGUAAGGGACCGAAAAUAAGUAGGGAAGCAUGCUUGGAUGGUGGCGAGAAAAGCUUCGUGUAUAUAAGCAGGGUACCCGUACUGCAAACCGACACAGGUAGUCAGGAAGAGGAUUCUAAGGCCAUCGGGAGAAGCGUUGUUAAGGAACUCGGCAAAUUGACCCCGUAACUUCGGAAUAAGGGGUGCUCACGCGAGUGAGCCGCAGUGAAUAGGUCCAGGCAACUGUUUAUCAAAAACACAGCUCUCUGCUAAAUCGUAAGAUGACGUAUAGGGGGUGACACCUGCCCGGUGCUGGAAGGUUAAGAGGAGGGGUGCAAGCUCCGAAUUGAAGCCCCAGUAAACGGCGGCCGUAACUAUAACGGUCCUAAGGUAGCGAAAUUCCUUGUCGGGUAAGUUCCGACCCGCACGAA
rnacentral:rRNA from 1 species